UCGGACUGGCCCAGGGAGAGUGGCAACGCUCGCCCAGGGCCGGAAAGUUGUCCAAACUUGGUCAUUUAGAGGAAGUAAAAGUCGUAACAAGGUUUCCGUAGGUGAACCUGCGGAAGGAUCAUUACAGAGUGCGAGGCUCAGUCGUGGCAUCUGCUGCGUGCUGGGCCGACCCUCCCACCCGUGUCGAUUUGUAUCUUGUUGCUUUGGCGGGCCGGGCCGCGUCGCUGCUGUGCGCAAGGACAUGCGGUGGCCGCCCACCGGUUUCGGCUGGAGCGCGCCCGCCAAAGACCCAACCAAAACUCAUGUUAUUUUUUGUCGUCUUAGCUUUAUUAUUGAAAUUGAUAAAACUUUCAACAACGGAUCUCUUGGCUCUGGCAUCGAUGAAGAACGCAGCGAAAUGCGAUAAGUAAUGUGAAUUGCAGAAUUUAGUGAAUCAUCGAAUCUUUGAACGCACAUUGCGCCCCUUGGUAUUCCGAGGGGCAUGCCUGUUCGAGCGUCAUAACACCCCCUCCAGCUGCCUUGGUGUCGCUGCGGUGUUGGGGCUCGUCGCGAUGCGGCGUCCCUUAAAGACAGUGGCGGUCCCGGCGUGGGCUCUACGCGUAGUAACUUGCUUCUCGCGACAGAGUGACGACGGUGGCUUGCCAGAAGAACCCACGUUGUUCCAGUCACAUGGAAUCAAAGGUUGACCUCGAAUCAGGUAGGAAUACCCGCUGAACUUAAGCAUAUCAAUAAGCGGAGGAAAAGAAACCAACCGGGAUUACCUCAGUAACGGCGAGUGA
rnacentral:rRNA from 1 species